rnacentral:rRNA from 1 species
UACAGAGGGUGCAAGCGUUGUUCGGAAUUAUUGGGCGUAAAGGGCGCGUAGGCGGUUCGGCAAGUCUCUAGUGAAAUCUCUGGGCUCAACUCAGAGUCUGCUGGGGAAACUGCCGGGCUUGAGUGUGGGAGAGGAGAGUGGAAUUCCCGGUGUAGCGGUGAAAUGCGUAGAUAUCGGGGAGGAACACCUGUGGCGAAGGCAGCUCGCUGGGACGGUACUGACGCUGAGACGCGAAAGCGUGGGGAGCAAACAGG